UGGGGAAUAUUGCACAAUGGGCGCAAGCCUGAUGCAGCCAUGCCGCGUGUAUGAAGAAGGCCUUCGGGUUGUAAAGUACUUUCAGCGAGGAGGAAGGCGUUGUGGUUAAUAACCGCAACGAUUGACGUUACUCGCAGAAGAAGCACCGGCUAACUCCGUACCAGCAGCCGCGGUAAUACGGAGGGUGCAAGCGUUAAUCGGAAUUACUGGGCGUAAAGCGCACGCAGGCGGUCUGUCAAGUCGGAUGUGAAAUCCCCGGGCUCAACCUGGGAACUGCAUCCGAAACUGGCAGGCUAGAGUCUUGUAGAGGGGGGUAGAAUUCCAGGUGUAGCGGUGAAAUGCGUAGAGAUCUGGAGGAAUACCGGUGGCGAAGGCGGCCCCCUGGACAAAGACUGACGCUCAGGUGCGAAAGCGUGGGGAGCAAACA
rnacentral:rRNA from 1 species